GGGGUAUAGCUCAGUUGGUAGAGCGACGGUCUCCAAAACCGUAGGUCGCGGGUUCGAACCCUGCUGCCCCCCCUGCCA
rnacentral:tRNA from 1 species